rnacentral:rRNA from 1 species
UUAGGCGUGGGUUGUAAGUCUUGAUUCGCGAUUACUAGCGAUUCCCACUUCAUGUAGGCGAGUUGCAGACUGCAAUCCGAACUGAGAUAGGUUUUUUGGGAAUGGUUCCCUUCCGGGCUUGGGACCUUUGUUUCAACCAUUUGACCAAUGUGUUGCCCAGGCCUAAAGGGCAUGGGGGAUUUGAUUUUUUCCCCCCCUUCUCCCGGUUAUUCACGGGGGGGCCCCUUAAGGGUCCCACCUAAUGGUGGCGGGAAAAAAAAAAGGAGGUGCUCGUUGCUGGGGUUAAUACCCCACCUCACCACACCAGAUGACGACAACAAUGCACCACCCGUCUCUCUGUAUUUCAGGAGUUGAACAAUCUAUUUUUUAUGCAUUGGAUGUCAGGUAAAGGCAGGGUAGG